rnacentral:rRNA from 1 species
AUUGAACGCUGGCGGCAGGCCUAACACAUGCAAGUCGAGCGGUAGCACAGAGAGCUUGCUCUCGGGUGACGAGCGGCGGACGGGUGAGUAAUGUCUGGGAAACUGCCUGACGGAGGGGGAUAACUACUGGAAACGGUAGCUAAUACCGCAUAACGUCGCAAGACCAAAGUGGGGGACCUUCGGGCCUCAUGCCAUCCGAUGUGCCCAGAUGGGAUUAGCUUGUAGGUGAGGUAACGGCUCACCUAGGCGACGAUCCCUAGCUGGUCUGAGAGGAUGACCAGCCACACUGGAACUGAGACACGGUCCAGACUCCUACGGGAGGCAGCAGUGGGGAAUAUUGCACAAUGGGCGCAAGCCUGAUGCAGCCAUGCCGCGUGUAUGAAGAAGGCCUUCGGGUUGUAAAGUACUUUCAGCGAGGAGGAAGGCGACAAGGUUAAUAACCUUGUCGAUUGACGUUACUCGCAGAAGAAGCACCGGCUAACUCCGUGCCAGCAGCCGCCGUAA